UCACUCUGGCAGCAAAUUAAAACUGGAACAACACCAAGAAGAUAGUACAGCCCCUGCACAAGAAUAACAUGCAAAUACAGGGAUUGUUCUGUAUUUGU
rnacentral:snRNA from 1 species